GUUGCAGGCAAGCUCUACCGUUUCUCUUGCAUUGUAUUCGUACCAACCGUUUGCAAGAAAGACAAAGUCUUUGAUCCAAACAUUUGUGAUAUUGCUCCCAAUCCAAAGAAAACAACAUGUGAUUUUCACGUACUGGUAGACAUUAAAGGCAAAAAGGAAAUGUCUGAUCUUGUUUGCAAAGAGUGAUCUCUGUACAAAAAAAGCUGUACAAUUAUCCAUAGCGAACACAAACUUUUUGGCCAAAUAAACUCUGC